rnacentral:rRNA from 1 species
UACGUAGGGUGCGAGCGUUGUCCGGAAUUAUUGGGCGUAAAGGGCUCGUAGGCGGUCUGUCGCGUCGGGAGUGAAAACUCAGGGCUUAACCCUGAGCCUGCUUCCGAUACGGGCAGACUAGAGGUAUGCAGGGGAGAACGGAAUUCCUGGUGUAGCGGUGAAAUGCGCAGAUAUCAGGAGGAACACCGGUGGCGAAGGCGGGUCUCUGGGCCGAUACUGCGCUGAGGAGCGAAAGCGUGGGGAGCGAACAGG